CCUACGGGAGGCAGCAGUGAGGAAUAUUGGUCAAUGGACGAGAGUCUGAACCAGCCAAGUAGCGUGAAGGAUGACUGCCCUAUGGGUUGUAAACUUCUUUUAUAUGGGAAUAAAAUGUUCCACGUGUGGGAUUUUGUAUGUACCAUAUGAAUAAGGAUCGGCUAACUCCGUGCCAGCAGCCGCGGUAAUACGGAGGAUCCGAGCGUUAUCCGGAUUUAUUGGGUUUAAAGGGAGCGUAGGUGGAUUGUUAAGUCAGUUGUGAAAUCCGCGGGCUUAACCCGCGAACUGCAUUUGAAACUAUUGGUCUUGAGUACCGGAGAGGUCAUCGGAAUUCCUUGUGUAGCGGUGAAAUGCGUAGAUAUAAGGAAGAACACCAGUGGCGAAGGCGGAUGACUGGACGGCAACUGACGGUGAGGCGCGAAAGCGUGGGGAGCAAACAGGAUUAGAUACCCCUGUAGUC
rnacentral:rRNA from 1 species